CGGACGGGUGAGUAACGCGUGGAAAACCUGCCGUAUACUGGGGGAUAACACUUAGAAAUAGGUGCUAAUACCGCAUAAGCGCACAGCUUCGCAUGAAGCGGUGUGAAAAACUCUGGUGGUAUACGAUGGUUCCGCGUCUGAUUAGCUAGUUGGUGGGGUAAUGGCCUACCAAGGCAACGAUCAGUAGCCGGCCUGAGAGGGUGGACGGCCACAUUGGGACUGAGACACGGCCCAAACUCCUACGGAAGGCAGCAG
rnacentral:rRNA from 1 species